rnacentral:lncRNA from 1 species
ACAGGAGCGAUUACAUCAACCAAAGAAACAAACUUCAAGCUACAUAAUCCUUCUCCGAAAGCUAGGAAAGCCUGACCUAUCCAUCUGUAUGUCACCACGCGCCAUAGGGGGUAGCUCUGCAAAGGACUCAAACAAAACAUGCCUGCCCCGAUCAGCACCCAUCUUAGCCAGCCUGUCGGAUGGUUUAUUCGCUUCCCUAAAGCAAUGUGUUAUUGAUCGAAACAAACUCUGAUGCCGCAACAGAUCCUCCAAUUCCACCUGCAAACGCCAGGGGCAUGCAUGCUCCCCUGAUAUGAUCUGAACCAGGAUUAAGGAGUCCACCUCCAAGUGGAGCUCCCUGUAGCCCCGAUCUACACAAAGUUUUACCCCAUACAGUAAGGCCCGUGACUCGGCGUGAAGGCUGGUGGCGACGCCAAGGAAACAGGAAAAGCCAAGUAGAAAGCCCCCCUGAGAAUCCCGUAAAAGC